UGUAGGGGUGCAUUAGUUUUAAGUUGGUUUAUUCCUGUACCCCCCAUUCUGUUUAUGGUUCUGCCCGGGCUUUCUCUCUCUCCCUCUUCUGAAUUGUCCCGUCAGCUACACUUUAUCUUUCCUAAAUUCCUCCCUAACUGCCUGUCUGUUAUUCAGGGUCCUUGCCCACUCAUCCAGAACAUUCUGGCCUGGACAUUGAAUGAUUGGUUUAGAGGUCAGGAUUCAACCCCUAAUUUAUUUACACUGGACAUCUGAGCUGUUUGUUAUGCGUUAUUCCCUCCUCUCAAAAUUUUAGAUUGGUCGCUGUGUUCUAGUUAUAAGACCUUGCCGAGCAAGCUUUUUUUGUCCGCGCCCGACGCUCCUUCAAUAAAAAUCUCCCUUUUCCCUGUCCGCGCGGUCCUGUCUUUCUCCUGCGAGACGCAGACUGACUACACUGCAGACAGCUCCGGGAAUUCUCGCUCUCCUAAAGGCUUUUCGCCUUAAGCCCUCUCCCCAGGAAAUCUUUCCGCGGGAGAGUGCCCUUCCCGCUUCGGUACUGCCGGCGGCACUGCCCACAGCAGCCGGGGACCCAGAGGCCAGUCGUAGCCGCUGCAGGUUGGCGCUCAAACGUGGGGCUAUCCGACACCACCGCGGACCCUACGACAGAGAAAUCCCGGAGCCAGCGGGCUCGGCUCGUUGAAACACCGGAAAGUUUCUCAUGAGACGUUAACCUACCCCGUGGGAUAGCGGACCCAUUUUCAUGGGUAUCGCUCCACCGGGGACUGGGUCGGUAGCUCCGUGCACUCCGGAGUCGAUCCAUUCGCAGGAGCCGCCUUCCCUAGAACGCGGUACCUCGGCCAGUCCUAACAACCACCUCCAGGACGACCCCCUUUCGGUUGCAGUUGACGGAGCCGCUCCAUCUUAUUGACUCAAAUAUCCAACUCGUCUCCGUCAGUCCGGAGUGCCCAGAAAGCCCGAGAAUGUCCAUCCCCAUAACCCACAUCGAGCUGAUCAUUUUCUGGAACUUUUUUGCCAUCGCGAGCUCAUGGAUUGUCCCUCAACCCAAGCAAAACAUUUGGAAGAUGCUCGCUGGCGCCCUCGGCAGAGAUCAUUUGUGCCUCUCCGCCACCUCGGCAGCAGACCCCUUGUCGACCUGCCUUGUGGGGAUCCCGCUUCCUCCAAAAGAGUUUCCCGAGCCCCUUUACUCCUUCCUUGAACCCCUUUCCCAAAAUAAAGUUUUCAGUCCCUCUAGUCCCAAUCCCAAUCCAAUCUGGAGGAGGCUAAUGUCCAAAUUGAAUAUAUCUAAAUCUGACCCCACCGAAUUUAAAUUGCUCGGCUCCGCGUCAGCAAAUUUGUGUGUUCAAUUUUUCCCUUCCCGCGACCGCUACGAAAAAUCUUUUACACCAAUUAUAGAACAGAAUCAAAACUACGCGGCAGGGAAUUGGUGUUCUGUCACCUCUCAUAUUACCACCCCCAUCUCAUUUGACGAUAAACCCAGAUCCCUCCCUAACGGCGUAUUUUUCAUUUGCGGAAACCGAGCAUGGGCAGGUAUCCCCCCUCGCCUUCUAGGAGGCCCGUGUACAUUUGGACGGCUGACGCUGUUUGCUCCCAACAAUUCCCAAAUUAAAGAUUGGAAGGAGAAAAUUGUCGCACACAAUUCGGUCCGCGUAGCAAGAGACCUUAAAGAUUUAGAUGAACAGUGCGACUCCAAAAUUGUUCAUUGGUCAAAGCCAGAAGGUGUCGCAUGGACAGUGUUUCUCCCAUGGGUGUCUAUUGCAAAGUCUCUAGGUGAAUUAGCUCACCUAGAGUGUUGGGUAGCCAGACAGGCCAAUUUUACCUCAGCCGCUCUAAGCAACCUCCUAGCAGACGAGGAAAUAACAAGGCAGGCGACUCUCCAAAACCGGGCAGCAAUAGACUUCCUAUUGCUGCUUCAGGAUCACCGGUGUGAGGAGUUCGAAGGGCUCUGCUGCCUCAAUUUAUCAUCCAAAGCCGGGGACGCCAGAAGAUCUAUUGACCAAAUGAAGGGAAUGAUCAGCGACAUUAAGGAGAAAACAUCAGACUGGUUGGGAGACAUCUUUACGGGAUGGGGUCUCUCGGGCUGGGUAGUCUCUAUUUUGAAAACUGUUGUUUUAGUCCUUUUCAUUUUACUAGUCAUUUCAAUUGCAAUUUCUGUCGUUUGGAGAAUUCUUAGAAGGCUUAUAGUUAAAUCGAUGUCUGCUUUAGAAGUGAAUCGGGUGGUAGUCGAAGAACAGAUUAUGGACGAAAGUCAAGAAGAAGGUGCCGAAGAAGACGAGCAGUUAAAAGACCACCCUGGGUCAGAUGAGUCCUCAGAAGAUGGUGUUUAAGUUACCCCACUCCUCCUUUUUCUUUUUAAACAAAGAAGGGGGAAAUGUAGGGGUGCAUUAGUUUUAAGUUGGUUUAUUCCUGUACCCCCCAUUCUGUUUAUGGUUCUGCCCGGGCUUUCUCUCUCUCCCUCUUCUGAAUUGUCCCGUCAGCUACACUUUAUCUUUCCUAAAUUCCUCCCUAACUGCCUGUCUGUUAUUCAGGGUCCUUGCCCACUCAUCCAGAACAUUCUGGCCUGGACAUUGAAUGAUUGGUUUAGAGGUCAGGAUUCAACCCCUAAUUUAUUUACACUGGACAUCUGAGCUGUUUGUUAUGCGUUAUUCCCUCCUCUCAAAAUUUUAGAUUGGUCGCUGUGUUCUAGUUAUAAGACCUUGCCGAGCAAGCUUUUUUGUCCGCGCCCGACGCUCCUUCAAUAAAAAUCUCCCUUUUCCCUG